rnacentral:lncRNA from 12 species
GAACAAGAGCCCAGUUCAUUUUACAGGCGUGGUGACAGCAGAGAAGAAUGCUGCAGAGGAUGGAAAGCGUGGUGGCACACCUGUAACCUCCAGGUCUGAAAGAGAAAACUGUUUGCACUUCAUCAUUCCAGGAAGAAAAAAACCACCCAGACCUCCUGCCACAACACACCCUAAACGGAGCCUUACUGUCCCGAGGGAAAAAACCAAACCACAUGAAGCAAAAAGCCAAGGUGCUGAAGAAGAAUGUGGACAGUGCCAAGAGGUUCCUGACCUAAUUUAAGCAAAAGGUUUUCUUUCUUUUUCUUUUUCUUUUUCUUUUUCUUUUUCUUUUUCUUUUUCUUUUUCUUUUUCUUUUUCUUUUUCUUUUUCUUUUUCUUUUUCUUUUUCUUUUUCUUUUU